CAUUUAGGUUGAUUUAAGGACGGGUUUUAUGAUGCGAUAGCUAGUAGAAAUAACAGUGUGUUUGUUUAAUUAUAUCCUGGAAAGGGUGAUGUUCAGCACAUGAAGCCCUACAGAUGCCGCCGAUUCAACAAUGCUGAUUAUGAUGGGCGGUGAAUUUAACCUUUGCCUUAUUAGGUCCUCCACAGUCGCCCCAUCAGUCCCUGGCAGUCUGGUCCCUGGAGCAGCUGGCCCUGGAUCACCUGCCCCUGAAUCACCUGCCCCUGGCAAAGUGGCCUCUUGAUUGCUCUCUGUGUCUCCUGUCAUGUCCUUUUCAUCGCUCUUGAAAUCCACCUCAAUUUCUCCCUCAAUCUCUGUAAUAAUUACAAGGUAAUGUUGCUAUUAUAUGUAUUUUCCCUUUGCAUUUGCAACUACUGUCAUCUCCAAUGUAAGCCAAUGUAAGAAAAUUUAUUAAAGCGAAUCAUUUCUGUAAUGUGAAUUAAAUCAUCUGCCACAAUCAGAAACCAAUAAAAUGUAUAAAUGGAUCUACCGGCAAUUGUUAAUUGGGUAGAAAUGUGUCGAUUAUCUACAUUGUGUGCAAAUCCUCAGAGAAUCCCUGACCUCUGGUUGUUUUUUAAACUGAAUGUACAAAUAUGAAUUAUGUAAUCUCAUUAGGAGUGUAGUCUAUCCUUGAAUUACAUGAAAUGGGGAAUAUUGUUAGCUGCAUGGAUCAUACCGAAGUUUAAUUUGGUGAAAUAUGUGUGGUCCGUUGCACUUGGUUCUGGAGGCACCCUCACAGAAGGGGGUUUCCUCCUCUUCGGCUUAGGGCGAUGAAUGAAAACUGUUGGGACUGCAUCAGGCCUCAGCUUCAACAUCCCUUCUCUUUUUGUGGCAGUGAAUUGGUCAUCUUCAAAGUGUACCUUAUAGGUAGGCUUGUAAGAUCAGUUUCCAUUGCACUUCAAAUAACAUUGAAAAGUCAUAAUUCUCAACACUUAGAAUUAUUAUGCCCUUUGAAAUGCUAUCAAGUGAUGUGAACAUUACUUACAUCGUUUUUGACGGUUGCUGACCCCUGUCACUUAUACGUUUUGACGGCUGACCAUUGCCAUCCAUUUCUUCCUGCGCUCUUGGUCCUUGGGGAAGCCAUACAUGUGGUAACCCUUCUCGGACCGAUUGGAGCAUCCAAACGCUGCACAGCCAACCAUGGUAUGACCAUUGAUCUAAACCAAUUUUGAAUUUGCUCAGGGCUAUUAUAAGUAUUGUAAUGGCAUAAAGUAUAGUAUAUUUGCAACGUUAUAUGUUAAUGGUUUGCCCUAAGUAUAUUAUAUAGUGUUCCCUGCUGUGUCCAUUGUUGAAUCUGUUCACACAAUCACACUCACUUGUUCUUGUCACACUAAUUGUUUAAUAAAAAAAAAAACGAUUUCAUUCA